CCGCAAUGAGGAACGAAACCUGUGCCGGAGGCCGAUUUGUCGAUGUCGUUACACAACCCUCUAAGAAGUUCUGAGCCC
rnacentral:snoRNA from 1 species